rnacentral:rRNA from 1 species
CGCUGGUCGGAAAAACCGAGUAGGACUUCCCGAGACAGGGGUCGUCCGACCGCGAGCUUGCGCCCCGCCAGACGCAUUUGUCUCUCGCUCGAAGGACGCCGCAGCCCGUCGGGAAGUGAAAACGUGACGGCCUGGGAGGCGGACGACGGCAGGUGGCCGGUGGCGCGUCUCGUGCGCGUCGCCGGUUGUUAGCCGGUCCGUCGGUGGCCCGUCUCUCGACGGAGGUAUCGAGAAGCCCUCUGGGGCUCUCGCGUCUCCUCCUCCAAGGAUGUCGGGACGUACGGUCGCGAGCGUGGGCAGCCGCUCAGCCGCACUCCGUCGGAGUGGGCGAGCGUGAAGGCCCGUGCCGUCUGCGACCGGGGACCCGUCGGAGACCGGAGGCUUGCGGCGAGUAGGUCGGUCACCCACCCGACCCGUCUUGAAACACGGACCAAGGAGUCUAACAUGUGCGCGAGUCAAUGGGUCUCGAAUAAGCCCAGAGGCGCAAUGAAAGCGAAGGUCGGCAGCCCGCCGACUCAGUCGGGAUCCCCGCCAGUCGGGGCGCACCGACGACCCGUCCCGUGCCGCUUGCGGCUGGGGCGGAGUCCGAGCGUACACGUUGGGACCCGAAAGAUGGUGAACUAUGCCCGGACAGGACGAGGCCAGAG